rnacentral:misc_RNA from 1 species
AACGCACGAGACCUGCGGACCUGCGGAGGGAUCAUUACCGAGUUAUCCAACUCCCAACCCCUGCGAAUUAUACCUUUAAUUGUUGCUUCGGCGGGACUUCGCGCCCGCCGGGGACCCAAACCUUCUGAAUUUUUUAAUAAGUAUCUUCUGAGUGGUUAAAAAAAUGAAUCAAAACUUUUAACAACGGAUCUCU